CUUCCUGCCACCACUGGGCUCUGGCUCUCCCAGUUUAAAUGAGGAGCCUCCCAUUACUCAGUCAGGCAUACCUGCUUCCUGCUUCGAAGCCUCCGUUUCUUGGAAAUAGCCUGUCAGGUCCCAUCUGCUUCAUGAAGCUGCUAGUCCCCUGAGAGUAGGACCUCCACUCUGAUCUCCUGUCAGAUGCUGGAAACUCAGAAGGGAAUAAUCCUUCCAAUCUGCCAGAAAUUGCUUUUGUGAUAUCAAGGCCUGCCUCAGGGAACCACAAUAUACUACACUCAGAUGAAAAUUAGAUUUAAUAACCAUCCCAAUAUCCUGAGUCAACUUAGCUCAAGGAUAUGAUUCUUCAUGCAUAACGGCUCUAAAGUCUCUUCAGCAUCACCGUUUUUAGAUGCAUUUCCAUUUCCUAAAGUUUCACCUGACUCAUGAUGUCCAGAAGUGACCACGAUACUUCAAAUGCAGAGAGUUCAAACAUAUCGAAGUCUCACUAGGUCGUGGGUACUGGACCACACCAAUGCACAAAACAAGACUAGUUUCUGCCCUCAGGAGUCUAUGGAUCAUUGACCCUAUCAUCAUGAUCAUUAU